AAUGUUUUCAUUAUGAUGCAACAUGGAAAUUUCUGUGCAACCUCUGAGAUCUGAACAGAUCUCAUAAGGGGAGGGGAAUCGCCAGGAGGGGAAGAAAAAUGUGAUUAUUUCGACCAAUUUCUGGGUUCUGUGAUGGUUUGUAGAACUGCUCCUGGGUACAAAAAAUUAGGAUGGUGUGCUCUAACUGUGGGCAGCAAACUUGAUUCGCACAUUUCAACCACAUGACAGUUAAUGCAACAAAAGGUUAAAGCCUAGUUGAAGGCUGAUGCAUAAGGCUACAUCCAUCAAAUUCACCCAAUAUUCAAAUACUUUCUCUAAGAAGAUUAUCCUUUCCAGUCUCUUGGAAUCUUUUAUGCAUUACAGUGUAAGUUGAUUGAUACAUGAAGAACAUCUACAUAAAACUGAGCCAAGCAUUAAAAUGUUUGGAUUUUUCUCAGUUUAUUCCACUGGAACGUUACCACCAUGACCUCCAUAUAACAUGGCUCUAUGCAGUUAUCACAUAUUACACAACCUCUCUCCCUCCUCCUCCCCCGACCACUUCAAGGGAGUAAAAAAAGGCUGAAAUGAAAUUUGAUGUACUUGUGUCCUUCAGUGAACACUCUUCCCGUGAGGCUCAAUAUUUGGAGGAUAAAAAAGUGGUGAAAAUGGAUUAAUUACUGCGGUCACUUUCCACUUGCAGCCCAGGGGACUCGCCGUAGGACUGAAAGAUUCACCUAGUCUCCCACCGCUCCUUCCAUCUGCCAUGUCACACCUACGGUUCACAGCCAGCACACUGCAGCUCCUCAAGCCCACAGGGCACAGGGGCAAAUUAGAGAUACCUGGCUUGGCACGGGACGCUUGGAAACUCUGGGAGCAAAACAAAGGGGUUUUUCAACAUGUCUCUCAAGCUAUAACGUGGACAAACAUGUGCACAAGUGUAAAACAACAACAGCUGGGCCCCUAUUGACUUCUAUUCCUCCCACUUCAUGUGCAAUGUGUUAAGUG
rnacentral:lncRNA from 15 species